rnacentral:rRNA from 1 species
AAUAGAUACCCAGGUAGUCCACGCCGUAAACGAUGUCGACUUGGAGGUUGUGCCCUUGAGGCGUGGCUUCCGGAGCUAACGCGUUAAGUCGACCGCCUGGGGAGUACGGCCGCAAGGUUAAAACUCAAAUGAAUUGACGGGGGCCCGCACAAGCGGUGGAGCAUGUGGUUUAAUUCGAUGCAACGCGAAGAACCUUACCUACUCUUGACAUCCAGAGAACUUAGCAGAGAUGCUUUGGUGCCUUCGGGAACUCUGAGACAGGUGCUGCAUGGCUGUCGUCAGCUCGUGUUGUGAAAUGUUGGGUUAAGUCCCGCAACGAGCGCAACCCUUAUCCUUUGUUGCCAGCGGUUAGGCCGGGAACUCAAAGGAGACUGCCAGUGAUAAACUGGAGGAAGGUGGGGAUGACGUCAAGUCAUCAUGGCCCUUACGAGUAGGGCUACACACGUGCUACAAUGGCAUAUACAAAGAGAAGCGACCUCGCGAGAGCAAGCGGACCUCAUAAAGUAUGUCGUAGUCCGGA